rnacentral:lncRNA from 1 species
AUGCCCGGGGAGGCUGCCCGCGCCGAGCUGCCGCUGCCCGAGGCGGGCGGAACCGGGCCGCGCACAGAUCUGGCCUGUGAUGCACCUGCUGCCACCAUCCUGGGAGGGGACCGGCAGGAGCCCUGUGCCCUGACCCCAGGGCCCAGCCCCCUGGCCCUCACGUUCCUGCCCAGCAAGCCAGGUGCCCGGCCCCAGCCCGAGGGAGCCAGCUGGGAUGCAGGACCUGGUGGGGCCCCCUCGGCCUGGGCAGACCCAGCAGAGGGGAGCCCCGGCCCCGCACUCCUCCCUGAGGACCCACACCCCCAGGCUCUGCCCACCGCCCUGGAGCCCCGGAUUGUGAUGGGCGAGGAGACAUGCCAGGUGCUGCCAUCACCCAGGGCAGCCCUGCCUGUGCUCAGGGAACAGGAGCCCCGCUCUCAGGAUGACCCUCCUGUGCCUUCCCCAUCCCCAGAAACUGACCCCUACUUCACCCCUCCCUCUACCCCCACCAAGGCCACCUACGGCCUGCUUCUUGGCCAUGGGCUGCACAGGAAUGCAUGGCACCCUGAGGCUGAGCCGCUGGAGGAGCUACUGGACUCGCUGCCUUCCUCGCCCUCAGGCUCCUACGUUACAGCCGAUGGGGACAGCCAGGCCUCAUCACCCUCCUGUUCCCUCAGCCUGCUGGCCCCUGCCGAAAGGCUGGACUUCGCCUCAGCCUGGGGCCUCUCCCAGCCAGAGUCAGAGGCUGAGGGAUGGGAGCAGCACCCUGCCAAGCCUCUGUCCUCCGAGUCCAGCCUGUCAGGGGACAGCGGGUCUUCCUGGAGCCAGGAGGGCCACUUCUUUGACUUGGACUUCCUGGCCAAUGACCCAAUGAUCCCUGCAUCCCUCCUGCCCUUUCAGGGGAGCCUCAUCUUCCAAGUGGAGUCAAUGGAGGUGAUGCCGCUGUUCCCUGAGGAGGAGGAGGAAGAGGAGGUGUCACCUGACCCCCUGGGCCCAGAUGGGGAAGCAGCCGGAGAGGACGAGGAGGACAGCACUUCGGCCUCCUUCCUGCAGUCACUGUCCGACCUGUCUAUCACCGAGGGUAUGGACGAGGCCUUUGCCUUCCGGGAUGACACCUCGCCAGGCUCCUCAGACUCAGACUCAGCAUCCUAUGCAGGAGCUGACGACGACCAGCUGUACAGUGGGGAGCCCCAUGCCCAGCCCAGCACGCUGCUGCAGGAUGCUGGCCAGAAGGCGGAGCAGGAGUGUGCAGGGCGUGCUGCAUUCUGGAAUGCAGAAGCCAGGGGGACAUCACCCACCCCUCAGGUCCUAGAAGAAGCCCCUCUCAGCCAGAGCCCGGAAUCAGUCACAGGAAUCUCGGAAGAGAGCCUUGCUUCCAACCAGGAGUCUGCGGCUGCUGUGACCCCUCACACUGGGCAGGCAGUCACUGGGGUGACCCCUCAGGUGGGAGCCAAAGAAGCUGACUCUGUGGCUGGAGGAACACCUGUCACCCGGGCGUCAGCUCAGCCCUCCCAGGACAGGAGGGGCACUGCCUUCAGCUGGCCGCCUGAUGCUGCAGAGGCAAAGCCAGCUCUGCAGGAAGCAGCAGGCGCCACUGUGUCCCCAGACCCUCCUGAGCUCACGGAGGCCCAGGGGCACAGAGGCGGCCUAGGUACCCCCACAGCCCUGGAGUCUGUGGUUGUGGCCAUGCUGGAGCCCCUGCAGGCUGGAGGUGGCAUCCCAUUACCCCAGAACUCUCCUGUGACAGACCUUCCUCCCCUGAUGAAUGAAGAUCCCAUCUCAGGCCUGGAGUCCGUGGCUGUGGCCAUGGUGAGGCCUCUGCAGGUUGAAGGGGCCGUCCCAUUGCCCCAGGACUUUCCUGAGCCUGCACUUCCACCCCUGCUGGAUAAAAAUCCCACCUCAGGCCCAGAGUGUGCGGCUGUAGCCAUGCUAGAGUCUCAGGAGGCUGAAGGGGGCGUCCUGUUACCCCAGGACGUUCCCAAGCCUGCACUUCCACCCCUGCUGGAUAAAGAUCCCAUCAUAGGCCUAGAGUCUGUGGCUGCAGCCAUUUUNNNNNNNNNNNNNNNNNNNNNNNNNNNNNNNNNNNNNNNNNNNNNNNNNNNNNNNNNNNNNNNNNNNNNNNNNNNNNNNNNNNNNNNNNNNNNNNNNNNNNNNNNNNNNNNNNNNCUGCACUUCCACCCCUGCUGGAUAAAGAUCCCAUCUUAGGCCUAGAGUCUGUGGCUGCAGCCAUUUUGGAGUCUCAGGAGGCUGAAGGGGGUGUCUUGUUACCCCAGGGCUCUUCUCAGUCUGCACUUCCACGCCUGUUGGAUAAAAAUCCCACCUCAGGCCCAGAGUGUGCAGCUGUAGCCAUGCUAGAGUCUCAGGAGGCUGAAGGGGCCGUCCUGUUACCCCAGGACUCUCCUGAGACAGAGCUCCCGCCCCUGUUGGAUAAAGAUCCCACCUCGGGACAGGAGUCCAUGGCUGUGGCCAUGGUGAGGCCCCUGCAGGUUGAAGGUGGUGUACCCUUACCCCAGGACGCUCCUGAGCCUGCACUUCCACUCCUGCUGGAUAAAGAUCCCACCGUGGGACAGGAGUGUGUGGCUGCAGCCAUGCUGGAAUCCCAGAAGGCGGAAAGUGGUAUCUCAUUACUCCAGGACACUCCCAAGCCUUCACCUCCAUCUCUGCAAGAUGAAGGUCCCACCUCAGGCCCAGAGUCCAUGGCGACAGCCACACCAGGGCCCCUGCAGGCUGGAGGUGGCACCCUGUUAUCCCAGGAUGUUCCCAAGCCUUCUCCAUCUCUGCAAGACGAAGGUCCCACCUCAGGCCCAGAAGCCGUGGCUGAGACCGCGCCAGGGUCCCACGAGGAUGAAGGGGGCGUCUGCUUACCCCAGGACUGCACUGCGGCUGCGCUUCCACCCCUGGAAGACGAAAAUCCCACCUUGGGCCCAGAGGUCAUGGCUGUAGCCAGGUCAGGCCCCCUGCAGGCUAAACAGGGCAUCUCGUUCCACCAGGACCCUCCUGAAUCUUCUCCUCCGGCUCUGCAAGACGAACAUUCCACCGCAGGCCUGGAGACAGUGGCUGUGGCCACACCAGGGGCCCAGAAGGCUGAAGUAGGCUACACCCAAGGGACCAAGGCCCUGGCCUCUGUGGCCCAACAGAAAAUAGGUGUGGCCUUACGACGGAGCCCUGUGCUCAAGGAAUGGGCUGCAGUGUUCCCUGGUGACCCAGAGCCUGAGGCCCUGAACCAGGCCCCACAGGAUGGUCCCAAGCCAGUGGCAGAGGCUGUGAUGCCUGGGUCCCUGGGAGAACAGUCAGGGCCCGCCCUGGGCGUGGAGGCCCCCACCCCCCCUAAGGCUGCCCUUGGUCCCAGGGAGAAAGGAGCCUCAGGCCCGCCUACUGCGGAGCAGGAAGCAUGUGUAGAAGCCCAGGUGCCCAAAGGCAAUGGGGCUGAGACCUGCUUGCAUCCAGGGGAGGCCCAGGGGCCGAAGAAUCAGAGGGCUAGGGGUCCCAAGCCACUGACACAGGGACAUGGACCUAGGUCAGCACCCCGAGGUGCAAGGGGAGCUCCCAAGGCCCUUCGUGCCACCUGCCCCGAGGCCAGCCAGGUGUUGCCCCUGAGCCCAGCCAGAGAGGGCAGGGCUCUGGGCAGCACGGCCACCCCAGGGCCCAGGCUCCCUGCAGUUUGGGCUGCAGAGGCCCAGCAAGGCUCCUGUCCAGGGUCCCCAGUCAGGGCUAUGUCCAGGCUGGACGGGGACAGCCCCAAGGAGCCUGCCCCAUCGGCACCACCCUCCCUACGGCUGGAGCCUACACUGGGCAGUGGCCAGCAGCCCCCGGCCACCCCAAGUCUCAGCCCAUCCCCACCACCACUCCCCAGAACCCCGGCCCAGGGCCCACCCAGCGUAUCCCGCAGCAGGCUCCUGGACCCCAACCCCUCUGCUCCUGGUGCCCCUUGCCGACACCAGGACCCCCAGGAAGACUUCAUGGAGGGUGAGGAGCCCCCAGCCUCUCGGGGUCCUCCACUGCUUCGACUGGGAACCCAGCGGGCCGCCGCUGCCUCAGGAACCACACAGCCUCGGGGAGCCAAGCAUCAUGUCAGCCUGGCACCCCAACCCCCCCUCAGCCCCAAGGCGGCUUCCGCAGAUAGCAAAGAGCCAGCCUCGAGGAUCUCAACCCCCUGCCAAGUGCCUCCUCCCUUGGGGCCCCGGGGCCCACGUGGUCCUCAAGGGCUCCCAGCCCCAGAGCAACAAAAGGACGAGGACAGCCUGGAGGAAGGUGAGUUCUUGCGGGGCACUACCAUCCCGGGCGGGUGACCGGCCCCAGUGUGUCUCACACCUGUCCCUCCCCAGAUUUCCCAAGGGCCCCAGGCUCUGGCCAGCACUCGGACAGCCACGGGGAGUCAUCAGCCGAGCCUGACGAGCAGGACCUCUCGGCCCCUCACGCAAAGUGCCCAGCCCAGGUGACAGGGCGGGGGGUGGGGGGUGGCCUCAGGUGGCCCUGCAGCCCCACAGGAACUCAGAGCCCCUCUCCCACAGCCCCCAACGGGCAGCAGUGAGGAGACCAUCGCCAAAGCCAAGCAGAGCCGCAGUGAGAAGAAGGCUCGGAAGGUAAGGGGAGCCCCACGGGGACCCCAGGACUGGGAACGUGGGACAGGGAUGUCCCCAUGAAGACCCUCACCCGUGCUAAUGAAAUCCUAUCUGAAAGGGGACUCUGGGACCAUCUGGGAACCUGCACCCCUUCCCCUAAACAGCUGAGACCAGGGUCACAGGUGUCCAGGGUCAUGGGGACAUUGGCAGCAGCACCUGUCCCCUGCCCGACCUGGGCCCUCUGUCUCAGGCCAUGUCGAAGCUGGGCCUGCGGCAGAUUCAAGGCGUGACGAGGAUCACCAUCCAGAAGUCCAAGAACAUCCUCUUUGUCAUCGCCAAGCCCGACGUCUUCAAAAGCCCGGCCUCUGACACCUAUGUGGUCUUCGGCGAGGCCAAG